GUGUCAGCAGCCGCGGUAACACCCGCAGCCCGAGUGGUAGUCACUUUUAUUGAGCCUAACGCGUUCGUAGCCGGUUUUGUGAAUCCUCAGACAAAUUCUCCCGCUUAACGGGAGAUGCUCUGGAGAGACUGCGAAACUAGGGACCGGGUGAGGCUGAAGGUACUUCUGGGGUAGGGGUAAAAUCCUGUAAUCCUGGAAGGACGACCAGUGGCGAAGGCGUUCAACUAGAACGGAUCCGACGGUGAGGAACGAGGGCUAGGGGAGCAAACCGGAUUAGAUACCCUUGUAGUCC
rnacentral:rRNA from 1 species